CCCUCAUAUCAGAUUUUGAAACCAUUCGAAUUUGCUUCCCACUCAACUCAACCAUUUGAAUCCCACACACACAAAUCCAGAUUCGAAACAGAAACAGAAAAAGAAACAUAAACCCCCUUCAUCUGCUAUUCACUCAUUCCGUUCCAGAUCUUUACUGCAUUAAAGCCUCUCACAAGUUGAUGAUAAGGGGAAAUGGAGGACGUAUAUGAAGAACUAGACGAAGCUAAAGCAGAGGUGGAGAGGCUUAAGACUGAAGUCCGGGUUAAGACUGAACUCUCUAAUGCUUUGAAGAAAGCUCACAAUGAGCAGUUGAUCAAGUUUCAAGAAGCGAAGCGGGAGAAUGAGAAACAAGCUCAAGAACUAAAUGUCAAGCUUGAGGAAAUUUCUCAAUCAAGGCAGGCUUCUGAAACCCUCCAGUCUCGUUUGCUUGAAAAAGAAUCGUUGCUUAGGCAUUUGACUACUUUGCAUGAAAAACUCCGAGCUGAUAGUGAGAAGAAAUUGCAAGAAUUGGAAGGGGAAAAUAGAGAGUUAGUAUCUGCCUUAGAUGAAGCUACUGAGAGAAACGUAGAGUUGGAGCAGAAUUUUGGUGCAAGUACUAAAGAGAUUGAGGGCCUUAAAAGACUCUUAUCGACUAUAGAGAGGAAGUGUUUCGAGGCAGAGCAGAAAGCUCGUGAAGCCAAAGAACUGAGACAAAGAGAUGAUGUCAUAAUGGGGUUAGAGGAGGAAAAUAGAAAUGCUCAAGAUCAGCUGAAAUGGAAAAAAGAACAGUUUACACAUCUUGAAGAAGCGCAUAGACGGCUCCGAGCUGAGUUCCAGUUGGCUAAAGAGGAGUGGGAGAGGGAAAAAUCAGCACUGCUUGAAGAGCUCUCUUUGUUGCAGACAAACUUGGAUUCCCAAACUAGAAUUCUUGAAGGCGUUCAAAAACGUUUGGAAAUGUGCAACCAUGCUUUAGCUCAUGAAGAAAGCAAGAGGAAGUUUUUGGAGGUUGAAGUGUCUGAAUUCAGAUCACGUUACGAAAAUGUGUUUGCCCAGUGUGAAGAAGAAAGGUCAAAGUUUGAUAGCUUGACUGUUCGAAGGGAUGAAGAGAUUGCUAAGCUAAGAAACUCACUGUCAACAAAAGAAUCACUCUCCAAAGAAACGGAAUUUAGAAUUGUUCACCUUGAGCAAGAGAAUCGGGAAUUGAGAGAAUCUAUAAAAGAACUGCAGGAAGCUCAAAUCAGAAAUUGUGCCCCAGCUUCUCUAACAAAGUUGCGAAACAAGCUUAGGGGCAUGGAGCAGACACAUAGCAACUGUUCCACAAAUCUGAAAGCAAAAGAAUCUGAAGUGAGUCUCCUAAUAGAGAAGAUGAAAGGAGAUGAAAGCAGGCACAAUUUUGAAUUGAAGGAUAGAGAGGAGCAAAUACAGAAGCUUCAGAUGGAGCUAAAAAGCUGCCAUUCAGUGAUCGACGUUUUAAAUGUAGAGAUUUCAGUACUACUUACGAUCUUUAAAUCAGAACUCUCAGAGGCUUACUCCAACAAAUCUGAUGAAAGCACUGAGAUGGAGCUGUGUAAUAGAAUGGAUGACAAGAUCUCUCUACUUCAAACAGAGUUGGAGAUGAAGAACAGUGAUUUAAGAAAUGCUCAUCUUAAGCUUGAACAAGAGCACGUCAAAGCAGAAAUGCUAAUGAAGAGGGUAAGGUCCUUGGAACUCGCUGAACAGCAGCAGGUGAUCAUGGAGGAAGAGGUUCAACGACUUAAAAAGAUGCUUGAGGAAUCAUCUGUGCAUCAACUUUACAUGAAAGAACAAUUAGUGCAGAUGGAAAUGGAGAAACGAGAAGUAUCUUUGGCUUUAGAAAAGGCAAAUCUUGAAUUGGCUGAGGAAGUUUGUGAAGCAAGUCUGCUAGAAUUUGAAUUACAGAAUUGGAAAUCUCGAGCUGAAAGAUUGAAAGUGUGCUGGCAUGGAAAUCAAGAAAAAUGUAGACAAAUGGAGGAUUCACUUCUUGCACAAGCUGAGUAUGAAGAAACCCUUAUGCACGAGAAAGACAGCCUCAUCACCAUUAUCAAAGAGGAGACUAAAAAAAGGGAAGUUUUGCAGCAGAAGAUUGUCCUUCUAGAAGCUACAGUUGCAGCAAAGAACGAGGAAGUGGAAUUCAUCCCAGAAAUCACAGAGAACCUUAUGAAAAUGCGCAGGAGAAGGAUAGCUGCAUAGAAAAACUCCAAAAUGAUAUCAUGCAGAUGGAGCAAGAGGCCAUGACAAGAGAAGUGGAAGCAGCAAUUUUUGCAAGCAUUGACGCAGAGAAAACCGUUGGACUAGAGAAAGACAAGCUUUUCAAGGUUAUAAAUGAGAAAGAUGAGGAAAUAAAAAAUCUUCAGGUACUGGCAUCGUCAUUAGAGCAAGACUUGACAAGUGCAUUUAUAUCGUCCUUCUCAGAAGUUGUAGAAAAUUUGGUUACAAUUGAAAAGCUUACUGAAGCUUUGAAGGAGGCCAAACAUAUGACAGAGCUAGAGAUUGAAGAGAAGAACACAAAACUCAUUGAGUUGGAGAAGGAAGUAUCUGGUUUGCGAAAAAGUUUGAAAAAUCAGGAGGAAGCCUUGUUUACUGAAAAACGACAAGCAGUUGGACUUCAAGCAUUAUUGGAAGCCAACAAACUGGAAAAUGACAAACUGAUGGGUGAACAGAGGAGACUGGAAGGCAUAGCCAAACAGCUUGAGUUUGAAAAACGGGUUCUCUUUCAAGACACCGCAAGUCUAUCAAAAGACAGGGAGCACGUUCUUGUUCACUUUGAAGAAUUCUGUGAUCGUAUGGGUGAAUUCACUUGUGAGGAUGUGGAGAUGAUGAAUCUUUUGGAUACAAUAUUGCAAACGUGCAAGGAAGAGGUGAAACCAGCAAUGAAUUUGAAAGUGGAUAACGAGCUCUAUGAUUCUACCCAAGAGAAUGAAAACAAUUCUAUAUCACCCUCAGCAAGAAAACUUGAAGCAUGUAUUACUGGAAGAUCACCACUGAAAGAAAUGAAUCAGCAGGAGUUUGUAACUAAGAGAAGGAAUACAAGUUUUCACUAAAGAAUAUGA